GCCUUUCUUCAAUGGCGCCGUGGCGAAGGUGUGUGUGUGGGGGUGAGGGAACCCCGGGUUUAGCAGGCAUUUUACUGUCCAAUGUAAUGGGCAAUUUACUACUGGGACACUUGGAGUGUCUGCCUGCCUUGCACGAGGGGAGAAAGCAGCAGGAGAAUUGGAGGUGCUCUUCUUUUCACCCACACCCACUGCAAAUGAUGAAGCAUGAAUUUGAGGCCACCAGUCCUUUUGUGAUCUUAUUAUACUGGAUGGUGCCAGCCUUUUGGGGCCUGGGCCUGACGAUCUCCCCAGGAUGAAGAUUACCACAUUGUGGAAAAUAUGGCUGCCUUCAGGGGCAUCCGCUGUCAGAAUAAGAUUGGUUACGGAGUCUUCCAAACCCAGGCCUUUCAGUGUUGUUUCUUAGAAGGACGCAACCUGAUCCAUGUCUGAGAGCUUGCAGGUAUAAGAGGCUGCUUGGGAUUGAGGGGAAGGGGGCCAAACAAAGUGCACUGCAAGCACAGCUGUGCCACAUGGAAGACAUCACAGGUUAGUGGCUCAGUGCUUGCCCUGCAUACAAAAAGUCCCUGGUCUAGCCCUAGGAAUCUCCAGUUAAAUUGUGGAUGGGGGAGAAACUAAAUCCUGAUCUUAAGGUCUCUCUUCUGCCUGGUAUGUAGAAUGCCUGGCAGGUUGGAAUAGAUGGUGUUGUGUUGGUGUUGGGUGGAGCUGCUAUCAGCGUGGAUGUUUGGUUUGCUGGGAUUCAGAAACAAUGGUGGCCUCCAGUUGAUCCUGACAGACUCCAGGACCUUUAAAAGGACUUGAGUGUUCUAUUUGGUGGUGGAGAGAUACUGGCUACUGGUUUUUAUUUUUGCAUACGAAGGCUGCCAUUAUCCUUUCUUUCUAGAAUGCUAAAGAGUGCAACCUGAUACCACCUCCGCUCAGCACCAUUUUAUUCAGAUCUAUCUGCAUUCUACACAGGAUGCAAACAAAUGUAUAGGACCUGAAUCAUAAUUUCUUUCUCCCCACUCCCUCCUUUCUGAAGUUCUAGAAAACUUGAGAAAGCAUGCAUAUAAUUUUGGUUGGUCCUAAUUAAAAACAAGAAUUAAACAAUUUUUGGUUUGGAUAUAGAAUUUUAACUGGCAGGAGGCACUAGGACUUUGCAGGCAUGUUGGCCAGAUUCAGUCCCCGAAGCCACUUGGAUUUCUGGGAAAGAACAGUGAUACCUUAGGUUGUCUGUUGGGAGUAUAUACAGCAGCCCUGGAGCUAAAGCUUAAUGCAUAUUUCUUACCGUUUAGUCUCAGGCAAGCUGAUGUCCCAGUUCUUGGGAUAAACUCUCAAGAUACCAAGUGAUGGGGCUGGCCCUGCAGAAAUCCAGAAGCUUUUUAAAAUUGGAUUUUCCCACACAUCUAGUUUUGUACUAAUCCCUUCAGACAGGAAUUGUUGGGUAUUCUGUAUGAUCAGUAAAAUGCUCAAAGUAGUUUGAACUUAAUGUCUGAAUGUCUGUUUCUUUAGCAUAACUUAUGCUUUGUUUUAAUAAAGUUUAACUUUGGAGGAAGAGACCGGAGGAACUAGAUGGUGAGGUAAUGGAAGACAGGAGUGAUUAGAAGUGGGAAUGAGAGACGUGCAUUCAAGUGGCAUUGCUGAAUAUUAAAGAAUAACCCAGCUCCACACACAUUUGCAAAUUAUACACAGCUUUUAUGCUGUGCUUAACCCAGCUGGCACUACCGUUCUCUUUCUAAGAACUGCCUUUGCUUGUUUUCCCUGAAUAGCAGUAAAAUUGCUAGUGAGCAAAACUCUUAGGUGUGGGAACAUCAGAUACUGAAAAGGAGCAUGUACAGCCCUGAUUCCUAAAAAUUAUCUUGGUCAAUUGGGCCCACAUAGUGUAGCUCUCAACUUCCCCCAGUGCCCCCCCUGGGGAAGUUUGUGUGCAGGAGACUGAACUGCACAUACAUGAGUAUCACGCAGACAGGACGAUAUGCAAUAGGUGCCUUAUUUUCACUUUCCAUACAGCCAGCAGGGGAAGUAGUUGUGUUUGAGUAGGACUGGGAGAACAUUGUUUUGGGGUGGGGGAACCUUGGGCUGGUCAUGUUCUCUCCGCCUCCCCUAUAUCACAAGAUUCUUAGGAGAAGAAGGGGAGGAAAGGAGAACUAUGUAUGCUAUUAAGAAGAAAGUGGAGGAGAGGAGGAAAUAAGAAUUAUUUAUACUGAAUCUCUCCUAGCACGGUGCAGAGAGGCUGGUUUCUUGACUAUGAGCUGUUGCUGUUCCCUCCCAGCAUCUCUUGCGCUACAGGGCCUAGUAGGCCGCUACUAAACUGCAUGUUCUGGAAAACAGAAGUGACUGGCUUUAUUUGAAUAUGAGGUUUUCUUGUUGCCAUUGGCCCAUCUUCUCACCUUCUCCAGUACAAGACACACAUGCAAACUAAUGCCAUGCUCAGCAGACCUACUAUCACAGCCAAAGCAGUUACGGUGCGUCCUGCAAACAAAAUAGAGGAGCCGGUAUAAGUGGAACUUGCCUGACUCCUUUACUCGAGGAAAACCAAGCGGGGGCCUAAGACAUCACUAUCUUCUCCUUCACUUGGAAACGCUCCUGGCUUGCUGGGCGUCUGACAGCAACUCAGUCUGCA